rnacentral:rRNA from 1 species
AGUGAACGCUGGCGGUAGGCCUAACACAUGCAAGUCGAACGGCAGCACAGUAAGAGCUUGCUCUUACGGGUGGCGAGUGGCGGACGGGUGAGGAAUACAUCGGAAUCUACUUUUUCGUGGGGGAUAACGUAGGGAAACUUACGCUAAUACCGCAUACGACCUACGGGUGGAAGCAGGGGAUCUUCGGACCUUGCGCGAUUGAGUGAGCCGAUGUCGGAUUAGCUAGUUGGCGGGGUAAAGGCCCACCAAGGCGACGAACCGUAGCUGGUCUGAGAGGAUGAUCAGCCACACUGGAACUGAGACACGGUCCAGACUCCUACGGGAGGCAGCAGUGGGGAAUAUUGGACAAUGGGCGCAAGCCUGAUCCAGCCAUACCGCGUGGGUGAAGAAGGCCUUCGGGUUGUAAAGCCCUUUUGUUGGGAAAGAAAAGCAGCAGGUUAAUACCCCGCUGUUCUGACGGUACCCAAAGAAUAAGCACCGGCUAACUUCGUG